AACAUGAUGUAUUAGAUGUUUUUUAUCUAUUUUUUAUCUAUGGCCUUUACAUUCAACCAUUUAGAUGCGAUUAUUACAAUAGUCAACAAUACUAAACUUUACAUCAAGUACGGAAAUGAAUUCCAAGCAUGGUCGUCUCAAGACGGUGAAACAACUCUCAUUCUGUUUAGAAAAUAUUUUAAUUUUUAUGUGUUUGUAGUGCUAUUCCAUUUGGAUUUUGAAGGUUUUGCCGAGUGGUACUAGGUGUGUAAUAUUUCAUAACUGCACUCAAUUCAAUCUCAAAGCGUUUUUCAUAUCUCUCGUGGUGACGGGGCAGAAAGGAACAUCCUUGUGGUAGAACUUGCAUCAUAAGCCAAGAUUUUGCUUUCAUACCAACCAACUCCCAUUCAUCUUUAACAGUGGAUAAUUGAAGGUCCAGGUAUGCCAAAACAAUACAUGUUGCCCAUAUUGUCAUCAUAUUUCCAUUGCAUGGCACUGGACAGGCAUCUUUUAAAUCCUUAAAUGAUUUACCAACCAUAUUUGCUAUUGCUGACUUCAAUUCCCA